rnacentral:rRNA from 1 species
GGACAAGCGAAUAAGUGCACAUGGUGGAUGCCUUGGCGAUUACAGGCGAUGAAGGACGUAGUAGCUUGCGAUAAGCUGCGGGGAGCUAGCAAACGAGCUUUGAUCCGCAGAUUUCCGAAUGGGGAAACCCGGCCUUUUAGGUCAUUGCAUGCUGAAUACAUAGGCAUGCAAAGCGAACGCGGCGAACUGAAACAUCUAAGUAGCUGCAGGAAAAGAAAUCAACCGAGAUUCCCAAAGUAGUGGCGAGCGAAAUGGGAUGAGCCUGUACGUGAUAGUCGAAUUGAUAGUGGAAGCCUUUGGAAACAGGCGCCAUAGCGGGUGAUAGCCCCGUACACGAAAUCUCUUCGGUGGUACUAAGCGUACGACAAGUAGGGCGGGACACGAGAAAUCCUGUCUGAACAUGGGGGGACCAUCCUCCAAGGCUAAAUACUCGUAAUCGACCGAUAGUGAACCAGUACCGUGAGGGAAAGGCGAAAAGAACCCCGGGAGGGGAGUGAAAUAGAUCCUGAAACCGUGUGCAUACAAACAGUCGGAGCCUCUUCGUGGGGUGACGGCGUACCUUUUGUAUAAUGGGUCAGCGACUUACAUUCAGUGGCGAGGUUAACCGAAUAGGGGAGCCGUAGAGAAAUCGAGUCCGAACAGGGCGACAGUCGCUGGGUGUAGACCCGAAACCAAGUGAUCUACCCAUGGCCAGGAUGAAGGUGCGGUAACACGCCCUGGAGGUCCGAACCCACUAAUGUUGAAAAAUUAGGGGAUGAGCUGUGGGUAGGGGUGAAAGGCUAAACAAACUUGGAAAUAGCUGGUUCUCUCCGAAAACUAUUUAGGUAGUGCCUCAAGUAUCACCAUCGGGGGUAGAGCACUGUUAUGGCUAGGGGGUCAUUGCGACUUACCAAACCAUUGCAAACUCCGAAUACCGAUGAGUGCGAGCUUGGGAGACAGACGUCGGGUGCUAACGUCCGGCGUCAAGAGGGAAACAACCCAGACCGCCAGCUAAGGUCCCAAAGAUUGGCUAAGUGGAAAACGAAGUGGGAAGGCUAAAACAGUCAGGAUGUUGGCUUAGAAGCAGCCAUCAUUUAAAGAAAGCGUAAUAGCUCACUGAUCGAGUCGUCCUGCGCGGAAGAUGUAACGGGGCUAAGCCAGUCACCGAAGCUGCGGAUAU